rnacentral:rRNA from 1 species
AUUCGAUUAGAGUUUGAUCAUGGCUCAGAACGUACGCUGGCGGCACGCCUUAUACAUGCAAGUCGAACGAAGUAGCAAUACUUAGUGGCAGACGGGUGAGUAACAUGUGGGUAUCUUCCCUUUGGUGAGGAAUAACACGAGGAAACUUGUGCUAAUACCUCAUAAGUCUUUACGGAGAAAGCUUUAUGCGCCAAUGGAUGAGCCUGCACUUGAUUAGUUUGUUGGUGGGGUAAUGGCCUACCAAGACUGUGAUCAAUAGCUGAUUUGAGAGGAUGAUCAGCCACAUUGGGACUGAGACACGGCCCAAACUCCUACGGGAGGCAGCAGUGGGGAAUCUUGCACAAUGGAGGAAACUCUGAUGCAGCGAUGCCGCGUGAGUGAAGAAGGCCCUUGGGUUGUAAAGCUCUUUCGUCGGGGAAGAAAAUGACUGUACCCGAAUAAGAAGGUCCGGCUAACUUCGUGCCAGCAGCCGCGGUAAUACGAAGGGACCUAGCGUAGUUCGGAAUUACUGGGCUUAAAGAGUUCGUAGGUGGUUGAAAAAGUUGGUGGUGAAAUCCCAGAGCUUAACUCUGGAACUGCCAUCAAAACUUUUCAGCUAGAGUAUGAUAGAGGAAAGCAGAAUUUCUAGUGUAGAGGUGAAAUUCGUAGAUAUUAGAAAGAAUACCAAUUGCGAAGGCAGCUUUCUGGAUCAUUACUGACACUGAGGAACGAAAGCAUGGGUAGCGAAGAGGAUUAGAUACCCUCGUAGUCCAUGCCGUAAACGAUGUGUGUUAGACGUUGGAAAUUUAUUUUCAGUGUCGCAGCGAAAGCGAUAAACACACCGCCUGGGGAGUACGACCGCAAGGUUAAAACUCAAAUGAAUUGACGGGGACCCGCACAAGUAGUGGAGCAUGUGGUUUAAUUCGAAGAUACGCGCAGAACCUUACCAACACUUGACAUGUUCGUCGCGACUCUAAGAGAUUAGAGUUUUCGGUUCGGCCGGACGAAACACAGGUGCUGCAUGGCUGUCGUCAGCUCGUGUCGUGAGAUGUUGGGUUAAGUCCCGCAACGAGCGCAACCCUCACUUUUAGUUGCCAUCAUUAAGUUGGGCACUCUGAAAGAACUGCCAGUGAUAAGCUGGAGGAAGGUGGGGAUGACGUCAAGUCCUCAUGGCCCUUACGUGUUGGGCUACACACGUGCUACAAUGGUAUCUACAACAGGAAGCAAAACCGCGAGGUUAAGCAAAUCCUUAAAAGAUACCUCAGUUCGGAUUGCACUCUGCAACUCGAGUGCAUGAAGCUGGAAUUACUAGUAAUCGUGGAUCAGCGUGCCACGGUGAAUGCGUUCCCGGGUCUUGUAGACAC